UGUACCAUGGUUUCUAUGCUGCAUAUAGCUUCUCUUGUUGCGAAACCGUGUUUAAACCCGAACCGAGAGUUGCAGCUAGCUUCUGCGCAAAAAGAGCUUCAAGAAAUGGCUCAUUAGGCUUAUGAUGUUUGGGUACUACAUGAUUCUGGUAAAGUAAUGAAAGUAAAAUAAAGUCAGUCUUCUGGAAGUCUUGCAUAAUAAAUGUUGUUAAAGAAUCUAGAGAUCAUUUUUAUAUUCUGUGCAUUAAUCAAUUGGUACGUGUCAGAAAACAUAUUAUCUGUUCCUGGGGAUUUGCUAUUCUUUAUAAGCUUUUCGCGUGUCUGAUUUCGCUUUCAAAUAUACUGUGAGCUCUUCCAACUGAACCGUUGAUUCCGUUUUUGAUAUAAUUCGAUUCGAUUUUCAUCUCUAAUAGUCUGUACUGGAUUUUGCUGAUAGAUGCCAGCAAUUUCUUUCACUUUUUUAUGCAGGUUGAAAGUAUCAUUAAGACACUUGAGAUAUUCAGCUUCUCCGCAUAGUUCAGUAAGCCAUUUUUCCUUUGCACCUCGAAUUUCCUUUCUAAAUCUUCUUUGUAGUUCUCUGUAUUUCCGAUAGUAACAAAUUUGGAAAGUUUAAUUUUUUACGUUCUUUCAUUAGACCUAAUAUUUAUGUGGUCAUUUAUUCGCUCUUUGUUUUGUGUUUGUCAUUUUGAAGAAAUUUUUCGACUGACUUUUCAAAAGCUUUUUUUACGUUAUACCAACAUUCUUCAACAUCACUGGCCGAAAUUAUAGUGUCGAGUGUAUCAUUUAUGUAUUGUGUGCAUUCAUUCUGAAUCUCGGAACAGUUUUAUGUUGUAAGUUUUCUUUUAGCUUUGGCCAGGUGUAGCGAGAUAUUGGUCCCGGCUAAGAUGUGAUUGAUUGGUUCGAUAUCAGCAGCUGGCAUUGCAGUAACCCUGGUUAUCAGAUUCUUGUACCUAUGAUUAAUCAUAAUGUAAUCUAUUUAGUUGCCUAUAAUGCACGUGGGGCGACUUUCAAGUAUAAAGGCGACGAAGUGAAGGCGGCUAUAUCAAUAGACCUAUCGUUACCUGAAAAACGGAGUCUUGGAAGCCAUGACAAAUAGAACGGUCCCGAUAGCCAUGGUGACUGUUCCGGUUACGAAAUAUAUAAAGGCGGCAUCCACGGUAGAAGGCGCAGAUGCGAUGGAGAUUAUUCGAAUCACGGACGUGAAAAUCCCAGCCAAGCCUUGUCCCACCAGGAAGCAUUUGGUGUAAUUUGAUGGAAAAGAUGAAGCUAGCGUCAAACAUCCGACAGCUCCGAUUCCAGUAACGACUGAAAGGCAAAAUUGUUUAUAAAAAAACCAUCGACGUUGGAAUUUUGGUAUAGUUCUUUCAUAGAAAAUUGGUUUUGGCUUAUUGUGCUUAUUAUAUGUGUGUGUUCCAUUGUGAAGAGAAGAGCUUAGCAAUAAACAUGCUACAAAUGGGCAAUGUAAAAAGAUGGGGCAGAAGAUCAGAAUGCGAAAAAAAAAAUACUCACAUAAAAGAUUAAUAUUUUAGUUGAUGACAAGAAAAAUUUGAAAAACAAUUGGAUUUUCCACUUGAGCGUGAAAAUUAAAAUUCUUGUAUUUUGUUAUUACGAAAGUCACUACCAAAAAUCCCCGAAAUUUUUAACAAUUUUUUACAAUGAAAAGUACUUUAAAUUAAUUGGAUGAAACUCUCAACUUUAUUGACAGAAAAAAACUCUGAUAUAAUUAAAUAUAAAUUUUACAAAACUGUAUAAUCUAUUUUUAUUUUUUCUCUGUGAUUUUAUAAGUUAUGAUUUUUCAAUUUACCAAGAAGUACUCCAUUUUUCGUUAAAACAAUACGUAAAUGACAAAUAAAUCUUACUAGUCAUAUCAAUUAACUUAUUAAAUGAGUUCAAUACGCACACAGGUUGAGCAAUAUUAAAUUCAAGAGCUGUGAUGUAAUAAAUUAUUCAUAAUUUUAUUAGCGAUCUAAAAUGGUUCGAGUAAAUAAAAAAAAUCAUAAUGUGUUAUUUAUAACGCAUAUAAUGAGUGAAAAAAAUUCUAUUUCGAAUGGAUAAUAAUAAAUAAUUUUAAGUUUUCACUGUUUUAAGAAAAUUUAUAACUCUGAAAAUUUUGCUUUCACGGUUGAUGUGUUGUCAGUUGUUUAAUUACAUGUACUCCAAAUUUCCAUUGUUAUAAAAAUUUUCACGAUUAACUGGAAAAUUCGGGACUCACUUGAUAUGACCUUGAUCUUCUUCUUUUUCUUUACUUCUAUGGCCCCGAUUACCAGGACCAUUCGGUCAGAUUCUAAUCUUAUGCCUUUAUACGCUUAUCUAUUAUCAUAUAUAGAUUUAUAUUAUUCUAUAUGCAAUUCUGUGUCUUGAUGUCGAUUGUCUUCGCCUAAAUUAAUUACAAUUACAUUUUUUUUAUAUUUGAAGCCUAUUGUGAAACUUUCCCUCUUGUUCUUUAGGUCGGUCUUUACGAUCUUUUCGCUUUAUUGCUUAGUUCUACAGGCGUAUCUGUGAUGUAGAUUGCCAACGGUCUAGUCAUUUUUUGAAGGAACGAGCAGGUUCUGCUCCCUUCUUCUCUGUCGUUCAUAUUAUCUUGCGUCUUUAUUUUCAUCUCAUAAGCACCUCGAAAUAAUCUAUAAGCUGUUAUGUUGGCUUGUUUGCUUGCUUUCAUUUCAUGAUAACUAAAGUUCUCGCCCAAGGUAUUCGAACUUUGACAUUCACACUCAAUUAUUUUUAUUUAAAGUUUUUAUUGUAAGCUUGCAAAAGGCAAAGUCUAUUCUUCCUCACACUUAAUCACAACAAUGGACUGGCGUGGUUUUACUAUUGGUGGAUUUUUCUAAGGCGUUCGACACCCUAGACCACGAACUUCCUUCUGCCAAGCUCGGUUACCAUAGGUUAGGUUAGACUGCAUGACUGUGUUAUUUUUCCAAUCUUUUUAACCUCAUUAAAAAAGUAGUGUGCUAUAUAUAGAAAUUAAAAACAAAAUAAAACGGGAAUUUUAACAAUCACGAUAUAAAGAUUAGCGUUAAUUUUAUUAAUUUUUAAAUAAAAGGAGAAACCUACUAGAGCAAUACGGAUAACUGAGUCUUGAGCAAAGAGCGUUUCGACUCUCUACGAAAACAUUAUUAUAUAUUACAAGAACACUGUAAAUAAAGCGAAACAAUGUUAAUCGAUAACAAGGCAUAGAAAAACUGUCAAAGUCCUGUUAUGGGCAAGCGACGUCUAGAUAGUAAGGCGAUGAAGAAGUAAUUUAUAGACAAACACCGACAGAAGGCUGAAAAUAAACCUACAACAAGCAUUCUGAAGCUUUUGUAACCUGAUUCUUAGUACAGACAUCGAGGAUAGGGUAAUACACUAUAUUGGCAUAAUUUAAUUUAACGACAGGAUUUACAUAUUUUUUUGUGAAAUUUGAAACUUAAAAUGUUUAUGUUUUUAUAUAGGGAUCGUAGAGUAAAAUAUGCCUUUUGAAAUAGAGAUGAAACGUUGACUUUGAAGCGUAAGUCAUUCUCAAGCAUUAAGCCUAGAUUUUUUACUUUUUUACAAUCGUUGGUUCAUAUACGGGGCGUCCAAAUAGUGUGUCAAGGUAAUAUUAUGUAAUUAUUUUUAUUUUUGAGAGGAAUUGGUAGAAACCGGUGAAGUAACUGACUGUCUCUGUACGCACGCUUGAUUUUAUGCUAGAUACAUGCCACUCAUCCUCUUCCAACACUACUUUUUUAGUGUGGUUGGAAAGAUAAGAUUGGGACAAUUAAAAUGAGUGACAGUCAAACCCAUAGUAAGCGAGCUUGGGACAAAGAAGUUCGUGAUCUAGGGUUUCGCCUUGGAGAAUAUGUAUAUCAAUAUCAGAUAUUGCUUACCAAGAUAACUGAGGCUGAGGCACAUUUGGUGGUAUAUUACAAUUUUACAUCAUUUUUUUUAGUUUGUUGUCUCUCAUAAUCUCUACUAAACUAUUAGGUUCGGAAGGCCUAAAAGCGAAUUUAACAAAUGCUUCUGGAGGCAGUUCUUUCUGCAUUGGGAUAGAUCUGAUGAUUGAAACUUGGAUCUCAGUCUCAGUGACACGCAACUACUAACGCUAAUUGGAAUUAUGUCAGGAGGCUGGGCAAAGACAGCACAUGUAGACUGUGUUUAGAAGAAGAGGAAACACCAAUUCAUUUACUAACCAGCUGCGCACCACCAGAAUACUAUGAGCUCAAUUCAUUACGCCCGAGUAACUUCCAAACUCUCCAUUGCAAAGGGGAUUAAUUCUACGAGACAAUUCAGACAAUUCAGAGCAACAUAAACAAAUAUCUGCAAAAUAAGGUUUUUCCCAAGUUUAUGAAAUUAAAAACCAACAACAGAAGUCCCGCUGCAAGGAAAGCCCAGAUCCAAGGCCAGACGAAAUGGAUGAAGGAACAACGAAGACACGAGUACAGAAAACGGGAUACAAACAACGUUUAUGUAAAGGAACUGAUAAGCUACCCGCAAUCAUAGAUUUACCGUGGGGCCCCCCCUGCAGAUGGCGGUGAUGCAGGGACGUGGUAACGCGGUGAUGGGGGGAUCGGGAGGAUAAUUAAAUAAACUUGAAUUUUAAUAUGUUAUAUUUUUUUUAUAAAAUUGGUCUGGCGAGGAGUGUCUUCUUUUUCUUUUUGAGUCGAUUCCGUCGGCCAUCCCGGUGUUCCUGUUGCUGACGUUCUUGGUUCCGUUCCCUUAAGAAAUCUAAAUGGGAAGUACAGUAGGAGCCGUCCUACUCCGUCGACUACCCACCCUGCUGCUGAUGUUCCAUUCCAUUCUGUUGUAUACGAGGGACUUACCUCGAACUCCCAGUCAGUCGACCACCACUCUCCUAACUACCGGGAAUUCAAACGCCCCGUACUAUUUGUACUAUUUUAACUAUGUGGCGCCCAAAAGAAACAAAGUAUGUAUAUGUCGCGUUUCGUAUAAAAUACUUUCUUUAAACAUAACUUUCAGUCAGUGGGGUCAUCAGAUAACAUUUUUAAAACUCAUCUUUUAUUUGUUAAAAGUUUCACACGUAUACCAGAAUUCCCUAUCAUUUAAAAGAUAUUAAAACACUAUAUACUUCAAUUUAACUCGGACAUACCGUGUAUACCUGAUUAUUGCGACAUUGUGUAUGUCACUCGACUUGUUUACCUUCGACUCGUCACCGCCAUCUGCAGGAGGGGCCUCGCGGUGACGCGGCCGCCGGUUGCAAUACUGACGAGAGCACGCGAGCGACAUCUAGCAACGGGUAGAACCGGGGGAACGGACGCGGAGCACCCCGGACAUGCACCGAGGCCAACAGGGCGUUACACAAGGCGGAUUUUUAAUUGGCGAAUUACACUCUGCUAGCAAGAAGGUAC